CUUGACGUGGCUCCCCAGACCUCAGGUAGUCUGCAAUCUCUAAAAAGACCUCAACCAUCAAGUUUUUGAUUGCAAUGACUUACACAAUAGAUCCCAAUCCAAACAAGUCAUCUAAAUAGGAGAUCUAUUUUCUUAGACAUGUCUGAUUUGACUUUGGAGCUCAAAAAAAAAUAAGCAUAUAUGCUAUCCAAAAUCUGACAAUAUCUUCAAUGUCCUCUUUUCUAUUAGAUAUCUUUAGCUGACUAAUUAAAGACUCUAACCCCCUAUACUGCAUGUUCAACCUCAUUCCAAACCUUUCAAAUAACCUGUCGGUCUUCUUUAGAUGUUUUACGAUGGCUGAGAUUUUGAUUCCGUAACAUAAAAGCCCUAAAAUAAGUGCCACUUUCUCGACAUUGAAUGUUAUAAUUUUUUCAUCAACAAUGAAUUGAUCUCCUCUAACAUAAUAUUUUAUGAUCUCCAAGAGCAGCACCCCAUCUACAACAAAGGGCUCCAUGUC
rnacentral:lncRNA from 1 species